rnacentral:rRNA from 1 species
UGGGGAAUUUUGGACAAUGGGCGAAAGCCUGAUCCAGCAAUGCCGCGUGUGUGAAGAAGGCCUUCGGGUUGUAAAGCACUUUUGUCCGGAAAGAAAUCCUUGGCUCUAAUACAGUCGGGGGAUGACGGUACCGGAAGAAUAAGCACCGGCUAACUACGUGCCAGCAGCCGCGGUAAUACGUAGGGUGCAAGCGUUAAUCGGAAUUACUGGGCGUAAAGCGUGCGCAGGCGGUUUGCUAAGACCGAUGUGAAAUCCCCGGGCUCAACCUGGGAACUGCAUUGGUGACUGGCAGGCUAGAGUAUGGCAGAGGGGGGUAGAAUUCCACGUGUAGCAGUGAAAUGCGUAGAGAUGUGGAGGAAUACCGAUGGCGAAGGCAGCCCCCUGGGCCAAUACUGACGCUCAUGCACGAAAGCGUGGGGAGCAAAACAGGAUUAGAUACCCUGGUAGUCCACGCCCUAAAACGAUGUCAACUAGUUGUUGGGGAUUCAUUUCCUUAGUAACGUAGCUAACGCGUGAAGUUGACCGCCUGGGGAGUACGGUCGCAAGAUUAAAACUUAAA